GGGGCGGUAGCUCAGUGGUAGAGCGUAGGACUGCAAAACCAGUUGGUUAUCCCGAGGUCGCGUGUUCGACCCACGCCCGUCCCU